rnacentral:rRNA from 1 species
UACGUAGGUGGCAAGCGUUGUCCGGAUUUACUGGGCGUAAAGAGCGCGCAGGCGGUCGUCCAAGUCGCGUGUGAAAGCCCCCGGCUCAACUGGGGAGGGUCACGCGAUACUGGUCGACUCGAAGGCAGGAGAGGGUAGUGGAAUUCCCGGUGUAGUGGUGAAAUGCGUAGAGAUCAUGAGGAAGACCAGUGGCGAAGGCGGGUCUCUGGACAGUUCCUGAUACUGAGACACGAAGGCCAGGGGAGCAAACGGG